CAGGACAGCCGUACCACCCUGACCGUGCCCAAGCUCGUGUGCUCUUGGAAGCUAAGCAGGGUCGGACCUGGUUAGCACUUGGAUGGGAGAACUCAGACAUGAGCCAAGGGUUUGC
rnacentral:rRNA from 1 species